GAUGAACGCUGGCGGCGUGCCUAAUACAUGCAAGUCGAGCGAACAGACGAGGAGCUUGCUCCUCUGACGUUAGCGGCGGACGGGUGAGUAACACGUGGAUAACCUACCUAUAAUACUGGGAUAACUUCGGGAAACCGGAGCUAAUACCGGAUAAUAUAUUGAACCGCAUGGUUCAAUAGUGAAAGACGGUUUUGCUGUCACUUAUAGAUGGAUCCGCGCCGCAUUAGCUAGUUGGUAAGGUAACGGCUUACCAAGGCAAAGAUGCGUAGCCGAACUGAGAUGGUGAUCGGCCACACUGGAACUGAGACACGGUCCAGACUCCUACGGGCGGCAGCAGUAGGGAAUCUUCCGCAAUGGGCGAAAGCCUGACGGAGCAACGCCGCGUGAGUGAUGAAGGUCUUCGGAUCGUAAAACUCUGUUAUUAGGGAAGAACAAAUGUGUAAGUAACUAUGCACGUCUUGACGGUACCUAAUCAGAAAGCCACGGCUAACUACGUG
rnacentral:rRNA from 1 species